rnacentral:rRNA from 1 species
AUUGAACGCUGGCGGCAUGCUUUACACAUGCAAGUCGAACGGCAGCGCGGGCUUCGGCCUGGCGGCGAGUGGCGAACGGGUGAGUAAUACAUCGGAACGUGCCCAGUAGUGGGGGAUAGCUCGGCGAAAGCCGGAUUAAUACCACAUACGACCUGAGGGUGAAAGCGGGGGAUCUUCGGACCUCGCGCUAUUGGAGCGGCCGAUGGCAGAUUAGCUAGUUGGUGGGGUAAAGGCCUACCAAGGCGACGAUCUGUAGCUGGUCCGAGAGGACGACCAGCCACACUGGGACUGAGACACGGCCCAGACUCCUACGGGAGGCAGCAGUGGGGAAUUUUGGACAAUGGGCGAAAGCCUGAUCCAGCAAUGCCGCGUGUGUGAUGAAGGCCUUCGGGUUGUAAAGCACUUUUGGCGGGAACGAAAAGGACUGUGCCAAUACCACGGUUCGAUGACGGUACCCGCAGAAUAAGCACCGGCUAACUACGUG